UACGGGGGGGGCAAGCGUUGUUCGGAAUUACUGGGCGUAAAGGGUUUGUAGGUGGCUUGCUAAGUCAGACGUGAAAUCCCUCAGCUUAACUGGGGAACUGCGUCUGAGACUGGCAAGCUCGAGUGCAGGAGAGGAACGCGGAAUUCCAGGUGUAGCGGUGAAAUGCGCAGAUAUCAGGAGGAACACCAGUGGCGAAGGCAGCUCGCUGGGACGUGACUGACGCUGAGACGCGAAAGCGUGGGGAGCAAACAGG
rnacentral:rRNA from 1 species